AACGUAGGGACAAGCGUUAUCCGGAUUUACUGGGCGUAAAGCGCCCGUAGGCGGCCUGACAAGUUGGACGUGAAAGCUCCUGGCUUAACUGGGAGAGGCCGUUCAAACUGUCAAGCUAGAGUCUGGAAGAGGAGAGCGGAAUUCCCGGUGUAGUGGUGGAAUGCGUAGAGAUCGGGAGGAACACCAGUGGCGAAGCGGCUCUCUGGUCCAAAACUGACGCUGAGGGCGAAAGCGUGGGAGCGAA
rnacentral:rRNA from 1 species